ACCUGCCCUUGACUCUGGGAUAAGCCUGGGAAACCGGGUCUAAUACUGGAUACGACCUUCUGGCGCAUGCCAUGUUGGUGGAAAGCUUUUGUGGUUUUGGAUGGACUCGCGGCCUAUCAGCUUGUUGGUGGGGUAAUGGCCUACCAAGGCGACGACGGGUAGCCGGCCUGAGAGGGUGACCGGCCACACUGGGACUGAGACACGGCCCAGACUCCUACGGGAGGCAGCAGUGGGGAAUAUUGCACAAUGGGCGCAAGCCUGAUGCAGCGACGCCGCGUGAGGGAUGAAGGCCUUCGGGUUGUAAACCUCUUUCAGUAGGGAAGAAGCCGGCCUUUUGGGUUGGUGACGGUACCUGCAGAAGAAGCGCCGGCUAACUACGUGCCA
rnacentral:rRNA from 1 species